GGGCGGUUAGCUCAGCUGGUUAGAGCACUUGCCUUACAAGCAAGGGGUCGCAGGUUCGAAUCCUGCACUGCCCACCA
rnacentral:tRNA from 2 species